UUCGGUACGACAUUGCUCACAUUGCUUCCAGUAUUUUUGCCCGCGUUUAUCGCGGGCUUUUUUU
rnacentral:antisense_RNA from 2 species